rnacentral:lncRNA from 1 species
AUCGUGGGUGGAUGCUGCCCGGGGCUUGAGUGGUUUUUAGAGGUCUUGAGUGGCUCACUCUCCAAUCAGCGCUUUCUAGAGACAGCGUGGUCAGCGUACUUGCUUACUUUCAGGAUUGCGAGACGUCUUUAACCCUUGCUGAUCGGCUGACGCUGCAGCUUCCUGUGGCUUCCUGCUCAUUUCCCGCAAGAUAGCACUGAUAGGGUAUUGGAAAUCCUUAUGUAAAGUAUCUGUUCACUGUUUUUGCCCAUUUUCUUGAUUUAUUUGAACUGAUUCUUCUAUUCUUUUGAAGUUAAUGUGUUGCAAUUUUCACAUCUAUGUUGUUUUUUCAUUAGUGGCAUUUCUCAACUCCUUGAUUUCUUGAAUUUCAUGUUGUCUAUUUCAGUAUGUAUUAAAUUAUCUGUGACGGU